rnacentral:snRNA from 1 species
AACUUUGAGCAGUGACAGUAUCAUAGCCAAUAAGGUUUAUCCAAGGCAUGAUUACUGCUAAAAGAAAAUACAUUCUU